GAGAGAGAGAGAGAGAGAGAGAGAGAGAGAGAGAGCAGUAGGUGAGAAAAGAAUGGAAAAAUUAAAGAGAAUGAUGAUGAUGAGAGACAGUUAAUGGUUUUGGUAGUGAUGGGGAUUGUUUUUUGCUUUGCUUGACAAUGCAGCCUAAUUCCACUUUCCUGCUAUGAAAAAUUGCUCCACUAAAAGAAAAUGGAGGCCCCCAUCUUUCAUUAUCUUCAUCACCACACCUUUCUCUCUCUCUCUC
rnacentral:lncRNA from 1 species